rnacentral:lncRNA from 1 species
UCCUAGGUAUAUAUAUAUUACUAUUACUGUAUAAGGACAGGAUAUAGAGCGAGUAAAUCGCAUUUGUAACGGAAGCAGACCAUCGUCAUUGAAGUUGGUGGCAGCCAGAGGACAGCGGAUCGUUGCUCCCUUGUUCCUCGAAGCUGUGUGACGACCAGUAAAAUCGAAGACGGAGAAAGUGGUCGGCUGCAAGCUAUUGGUGAUAGAAAUUUUCUCACAAAGUGCGAGGAAAUCGCGUUAUCACCGAAGCAACCAUUUUUGAGUACUCGAAUCAUGGACAGGGCAAGUGCCUGCGGCUAGUUGCAUAAUGUUUGUCUUGCUUAUUGACUUCAGGUAUAGCUCAAUGCUGGUUUGGAUCCGCUGUGGACAGCAAGGCGGUAUGAAGGAGUUCAUGGCUCGAUGUAUGUCGGAUUAUCGUGUCGUACCAGUUCCACGGCUGCGUGCUUUCCUACAGUGCCGCUGCCUGACUUCACAGCUUAAGUAAAGCUCGUAUGCGAUUGCUGGAUGGACCAAUGUAUGAAGUCGCAAUCGUUGGAAUCAGACAACGUACGCAGUAGGUCAAGGUUUUGUACCUACUGUAGUAUACAGUGUUGUUUUGAGCCGACUUAAAGGCCAAGGCACGUACUUUGCGUUAUUGUAAUACGGAAAAAAAAAUCCGAUUCGGAUACGAAGCCUUUGUUAAUGUACAGUCAAAAGGCUUUGGUGUCCAAUAUGAAGAAAAUGCAAUACGUGGUCCCUUGUUAAAAGAAACUAUUGCUCAACUUGACGAUGCAACAGAUGGUCUGUGUAAAAACGUUUGAAAACUAAAAGGCACGACGUGUGUGUUUCGACAUUUGUUCCCAUCGAAAAAAAAGCGUAUGCAUAGGCAAGGACGGGCAUGCUCUCGGCAGCUGAGGGCAAUGGUUCCGUUUGAGUAACCACUGCAAGGGUAGCAGAGCUUGAGAGAUGGCGCGCAAGAUGAUCAGACAACAGCAAAUCCUGGACAGCUGUUGAUGGCGUGGGAAGAACGCGGACAACCUCAAACCGUAUGUUGGGACUCAAACGUGGGUAGAGCGGCCGACUGUUACGGCGCGUUUCACAAAGAAUCCUUCCAGCAUCCACAGUGUCAAGCAUCCUUAUACCGAACCCAGAAGAAACGAUACCGUUUCUACAGAUCCUUGACCGUCAAGAAAGAAACUCUUACAUAUCUUUCCUCUAAAUGUCGUUGCAGUAACUCAUGUCUAAGCCGCUACCUUCUCAGAAACUAGAAGCCCCCCCUGUGCGCCAUGCGUCGCCACCCUCUAAACUAAAACAAUAAGGAUGAGCGUAAUCAACGCCGCUGAACUGUUUCUCUCACUCUACCACUGAAAACAAUGCCUAAGGCACGCACAUCCCGUUUUAUUACUAUCGUUAGGAGGUUACAGUUAAAACAACAGCGGCACCUGCCGAUUUUAUAGUCGGAUCCUGAUUCGCAGUCACGCCCCUAAAUUUUUCUGACAGCAAUCAUAUGAGCCGAUGAGACCCAAAUGUAAAUAACCCAUAGAUACACAGAUACGUAUAGUUUUCAAUAGAUGUAAAUUGUACUUUUUUCACAAGCGAUUUAUCUGGUAUCAAAUGUAACAGUACGCCAUAGAAGCGUAAUGGCCUCUCUUAGUAAAAUAUGUUGAUGAUGAAUAUAGUAAAGGUUUGACCUACAA